rnacentral:rRNA from 1 species
UACGUAGGGGGCUAGCGUUGUCCGGAUUUAUUGGGCGUAAAGAGCGUGUAGGCGGCCAUGUAGGUCCGGUGUGAAAACUCGAGGCUUAACCUCGAGAUGUCAUCGGAAACCACUUGGCUAGAGUCCGGAAGAGGAGAGUGGAAUUCCUGGUGUAGCGGUGAAAUGCGCAGAUAUCAGGAGGAACACCGAUUGCGAAGGCAGCUCGCUGGGACGUUACUGACGCUGAGACGCGAAAGCGUGGGGAGCAAACAGG